rnacentral:rRNA from 1 species
UACGUAGGGUGCGAGCGUUGUCCGGAUUUAUUGGGCGUAAAGAGCUCGUAGGCGGUUUGUCGCGUCGGCCGUGAAAUCUCCACGCUUAACGUGGAGCGUGCGGUCGAUACGGGCAGACUUGAGUUCGGUAGGGGAGACUGGAAUUCCUGGUGUAGCGGGGAAAUGCGCAGAUAUCAGGAGGAACACCGGUGGCGAAGGCGGGUCUCUGGGCCGAUACUGACGCUGAGGAGCGAAAGCGUGGGGAGCGAACAGG